rnacentral:lncRNA from 13 species
AUGUCUCGCAGAAUCACACAAUCCUCCCCUGUACAUGAAGAAACCUGGAAGCAGAGAAGCUAUCCAAUCUCCCCAUGUCCCUCAGCCAGUGAUCCACUGAAAAAAUACCUUGGGUUUUGCCAAUUCUUCCAGAAGCUUGGGGUUGCUCAGUCACGACAGAAGGGUUCAGAGUAUUCCCAGCAGUGGUGCACUGUGCAUGUGAGUCGUCUCACAGCCUCCUGUGAAGCUGAGGUGGCAGGAUUUUCAAGAACUGGAUAUUUUUCCCAAGUACCAUACACUUGUGUUAGCAAAUUGUGUAUUGGGUUGUUGAGGCCUAACUGUAGGCCAGUAGGUGGUGCUAGCAGGCAAAAGCUAGCUGUGGAAGUAACAGUAGGCCUUCUGCUUGAUCUCUGUUUACCAGAAGCUCUCCAGUGCCUCAGGCAAUGGGCUGGGCUAUGGAAUGCAGGAUGACCUGGGUUUAGCACUCAGUUCCGGAGUUGGGGAAUGAAGCUGGGCAGAGCUGGACUGGACAAGAUGACACAUGGGUCUCCUAAUGGCUGGUGCAAGCACUAGCUUCAGUGGGAGUCCAAGGGGCAGUCACCAAAUGCUCAGAGAUAUGCCCAGGAAAGGAGCUGAGAAAUCACUGAUGUACCAAAUUAUCUGCACAGGAAUGGAGGGGUGGCCCAAGCUUUCAAUCCAGUUAAGCAGGAUUGGGAUUAGCCUCCCUCCCAUGCCUCAGAAUCAGCAGAGUUCACUCUCUUCUCUAAGGGAGCAAGAUGAGGUACCCUGCAAUGUCACACACAGACUGGUCCCUGGGUAGAAAGCUAUUGCUGUCUGCAGAUCUUGCCACCCAGGCAAAACUGUGGCUCCAACAAAAUCUCCUCCUGCUCCAGUCCCAUGAGGGAGAGAGCCUAAUUCCAGUGCCUGCAGCUGGAGCACAUUCCACAUUUGCCUCUAAGUUCUCCUGAUGGGUACCCUUCCCAUACUCCAAACCAAGUGCUUCAAUCUCCAGCCGAAGACAUCAAUGUCCACAGUGGCCACUGCUGCCAGUUUGCCAAACAUUACCUGGCUUGGUAUAUAGAAUGGCAUCCUCGUGGUAAAAUGCCUGAAGUAUUUUCUAGUGCCUUUCCUUUUCAGUCACUCAGCUUCUCCUCAAGUUAGAUCCAGCACUUGGGAGGGACAAGGUGCUCUUUCAUGGCCUGAUUGUAUGAUAGGUCCUUAAUUGAAAGGUGGAUACAGAGGUACACUCUGUGUCCUCCUCCCAUAUUGGGGUUUCACUCACAAUUCUCAGCCAAAUGCAGUCACAAAGGCUUCUUGCUCACCUUCUCUUUUCUGGGAUCUCCCACUUGGUCAUGGUACACUAGUGUUUUAGUAUGUUUUAAUAUGUUCAUGGGCAUUAUUUGCUAACAUAUUGUUAAGAAUUUUUUCAUCUAUAUUCGUGAUGGAAAUAGGUCUGUAUUUUUUUUCGAUU